CUCUGGGACAAGCCCAACGUGAUGUUAGGUGCAGUCACACUGCUCAUCCGAACUGGCACUAUUUCUGGACUCAGCCAGCUGCCGAGUCCUAAACUUACUUCCCUGGACCAGUUAAUGCUGGCUGCUGUCUUCACAGGGGGACGAGCUGAACAAAAACAACUCAGUCAUGACAUCACAGCCAGUCGUUGUUACUCAGCACUAAGGCGUCAUGUGGAAGAAGAGAUAAACAAAAGGAAGAGAUAAUAAAGAGAGCAAAAUUACAACUGGCCUGAGCAAACUGUAUUCCCACCUUUAUCAUCCAUUUAUUCAAAGAGGAACUUAAACAGUGCAUCUCUGUGCAGAUUUUUGCUGUUCACAAAGACUCACAUGGGACAUGGCAGGAAAACAGACUGUAAGACAGGAAAACAUUUAGCAAAAGUGUGAACAGAGCUUCAAUAAAACACCUUGUGCAGCAGUGUGAACAUGGCGACAUGUCUGCACACAGCUUCUCCACAGAACUUCACAGUGACACAGGAAAACUUGGCUGGACUGACAUUUACACAGGCCAGUGCACAGCUGCAUGUGGACAUGUAUACAUACUGAAUCAUGAGUCAGGGAUGCAAGCCCCCCCCCCAGCUCCCCCCAUCACACCACCUCAUCCCACAUGAGCCAAUGGGAGAAGCACAACACACCUUUGUGCUCUGGUCUCCUGGAGCUCCACAUACCAAGACUGCCUGUGGUCAGAAAACACACACACACACACACACACACACACACACACAAACACACUGAAAAUACAGAGUAAAACUAUCACCUCCAGUGAUUCAUUAUAAGGCUAAAAAACAUUAUUUUCUGAAAAGUGAUGAUUUUUCCUUAAAUUACCAUAUUUUCAUACAACUUCUUCACAAUAAAAUGGGACAUGUAUUGUGCUGUGCAGUAUUAUGAGGAUUAAACAGCUUCUGUUUUUGUUGCUAUUAACAAAGAUGUUUUUGGUGUUGUGCCUUUUUUUGUCACAACUAGUGUACUUAUGUUAUAGGUUUACUGCCAACUUUAGUGCCGCAUAAAGUACAUUUUGGAACUUUUGCUUUAGAGACAAGUAAACCAACAGUGAGCCUGGGAGUGGAUGCCUGUCGCUGUUGAGAAAGUGUAAGGAAUUAUGAAAAUGUAGGUAGAAAUUAUGAGAUCCAUUCCCUCGUUAAGUGCAGCUUUUGGGAAGAAACACUGCUAAUCAAAGCCAAACAAGUUGCCUACUUGUGGGAAAGAGCAAAGACCACCAACAUAAAUCAGUUACUCAAGGGUUUUUCCUUAACAUAAAUGUUAGGAACAAAUAUUUCACUUCUGUUAGGCUUGUUUUGGCCACAAAUGGAUUUUCUGAAAUUCAGCAGCAUUAGCAUUAGUAGGAUGAGUGUCCACCACAUCACAGGCCGAAACAGCUGUUUAUUGCUUCUAUCUUUUGCUGCCAUCCCAUUUAUUUACCUUUUCGGUAAGUCAGGACAGAGAAGCUCUAUGUGAAGCUCCUCAUGUUCAUACAGGAGCACAAGGCACAAUGAGAUGCAAUGACAUGGACAAGGAAAUCAAAUCAAAACCUCAAAACAUGUUAUUCUUUUUACCUCGAAAGCAUUAACAUUGACAGCUUUAUAAAGCAACUGAUGAGAAGAGGCUUCACACACCACUUUCUAAGACUAUGUUAGGACCAGAAUCAGGGUCAAGGUUAAUUGUCUUGCUCUAAAGGACUGAGAAUGUUGCUCAUCAACUUUUCCUGCAUAGAUUUAUAAGUCUGAAUUUAAACCUGCAACUUUCCAGCUAUGGACCUGCUUCUCUGAGCUUUAGAUCACUGCUGCCAUAAAUAAGUUCUCUGUGGGAAAGGACACAGUAAGGAGACACAGGGGAGGGACAGUAGCAUCAUUUGGGAUUAAGACUAGCAUAGAAACCAGAAUUACCAUCACACUUGAGGCCAUUACAUUUCUACACUUUUCUUGUUUAGUUGAUGAGGCAUGUGUAUCUGGUGUAUAUAAAAACAGAACCAGCCUUAUGGUAGAUCACUGAUCUGCCUUCAAUCAGUCCAUCUGCACAGAGACAUGGUCAAAGUGCUCAAUGUUGUGUUUGGUGUUUUAAGCCUCCAACGUCGCCUUCCAGGCAGUGCGGCAAUGGUUAUG